GAGACUGACCCAGAACAGGUUUACUUUCUUUAUGUCUCCUUCGCAUCUUUUUUUUCUUUCUUUCCCUUUUCCAAUGUCCAAGUCGGAUCGACCUCCAGUCGUCCAGUUUGUGUCCAUCUUUCUUGGCCCGCUAUCCCGCACUGGAAACUGGUUUUCUUUCCCACAUAUCCAUCGAGGCCUCGCCGGUCACUUAGGGGGAAACAGGAAGAGUGGGGCACGAGGACUGACCAGUUCCCGGAUGCGUCCCCGUCCUUUGGUCAGUUUACCAUUUUAUCCCGUGAUCGACAGUGCGGUCGCCUCGGAUUCUUCGAGUUUCUUUUUCUCUUUUCUCCCUCUCUCUCUCUCUCUUUCUUCUCUUCGUCGAAAAAUCGAGGAAGAGAAUCGAGGUGUAAAUGGACUAGCCAUCGUUUCUUUUUUCUCCUUUUUCCCUCUCUUUCCUGUUUUUCUUUUUUUGUUUCGAGAAGCACACGAGGCAUUUUUAUCUCCCGCUCGUUCCUUCUCUGACUUCUUUCUCGUUCCGAAGCAACGGAGUAUCGCGCGAUGCAGUAAUCGCGACAGAGUUUUCCCUCGGAGACUUUUCGACGAGCAGAAUUUCAGAACGUACGUACGCGUGACGCGUGAAGGAACAACACGGUCGGAAACAACGCGGCGCGGUGAGUUGUCGCGGCAGUCGGCAGUCGGCGAUAAAAAUAAACGCGUAACACAACGUAACAAACGGUUGGCGGAUGGAACGACGUAUUCAUCCCCCACCAACCGGGGCUGCUUCGCCCCCAUUUCGUUUCGUGCCACGCCGUAAGAAACCGAGCGUUCUCCUAUCGCCUUCCCUCGUGUGUUUUUAGCCUCCUAAAUAAUUCCCCGUUAAAGCUUCGUUAAAUCUUUGACGACCCCGAAGAAACAUUGCUCGCCUUUUCCCCGUGAUUUGUUUUAUUCGAGUCGUCGAGCUAUUCGUCCGGCCAAUACCUUUUCGACCUUCUCGAACGUCGGCGGAUGCACCGAUGACCUUUCCGUCAUCCGGACGAAAGGAAUCCUUGGGCGACCUUGGAUGCCGUCCGAACAACAACGGCGAAACUUGGAGACAAUGUCUGCCGAAAGGGGGAGAUGAACUUGCGAUUCUCGAAAGGGAAGAGAGAGAGAUUUAAUUUCGCGAUCACGCGUGGCAGGCAACGGGACGUUGGUCCCGUCAAUUCGUUCGUUUUAUUCGGAGAAGAAGGAGCGAAGGUAUCAACGCGUGGUAAUUAAACGAUACUUCAAGUGUCACGUUUCCUUUAUCCUUUAGGGAGGGACGGAUCGAACGCCGCCAAAACCGAACGAAGGCGUCCCCUAAAAUCGUGGAUCGUGAGACGGAGUCCGAGAGAGAAAGAGAGAGAGAGAGAGAGGAUCGAUUCUCGAUCGCGGAGGCACGUCGAUCAUCCUCGAUCCGGGGUGGAGAAGGAGGAGGGGAAGGAGGAGAAGGACGAUACAGAGAGAAGGAAACAAGAGGAAGUAAGAGAUGGUUUGAAUAAUGACUCGGUUGGCACGUGAGGGUAUGGGGUUUGCCGGUCGGGCGCGCCAUCUUGCCUCGGCUCUCUACUUAUAAUUAUUGAUGUGGCCCGAACUUUAUAUAAACUCGAAACUCGUCUCCCUCGCACCGUCGGUUCGCCACCACCACCGCCACGACUACCACCACGACGAGCCAGCACCACCAGCAUCAGCACAGCACAGCACACGGAACCAUCUCCACGUACAGCGGGGUAGAACCACCCCCCUGAGCCCCGGCCAUCCCCUUCCUCCCCUGCCUCCUCCUCUUUCGGCUCUCCAACCAGGCGGCAGGAGGAAAUUGUUGGAGUUUUCAAAGUCUGACGUGCAGGAUAUUAUGAACGAGGGUAUGGCGUCGUCGAGGAGGUGGAGAAGGUGGUGGAGUAGUAACUGGGGGAGGGUGAGGGGGAGGGCGGCUCGGGAAGGGUGGCGGGAUGCGCAGGGGUGGCUGGCGAGGUGGAGUGGAGGUACCCAGGCAAAACUACCCGCCUCGGCUCACUCUUCUGCCUCCAGAGCCACCCACCAGCCCAUUCGUCUAGCUUAAACUAUAUUCCGACCUAACCUCCGCGUAGGUACCUUCCUUCUACCCAACCCUCUCUCGCUCUCUCUCUCUCUCUCUCUCUACCCACCGACUACCAUCUGACAGCCGGCCAAUACUUGCCGGAUGCGCCGAUACCCUCCGUUGCUUUUCUCGCGUCAUUUACUUACUACUAACCCCCACCCCCCUUCUGAUUUUUCUCUUGCUCGAUCGCCGCGCAACCUUUCACCCAUCUUUCGCUCCUCCGUUCGAUUCUCUUCGAGAAUUUCGAAUUUCCAGGGACGAAGCGUCGACGUGUUCCGGGGAAAUUCUUGGAAAUUGGGGAUGCGGGCACGAAUGAACGAGAAGAAAAAUUUCGUUUUGGAGGAUGAUCGGCCACGCGGCGGUAACACGCGACUUGAGGAGGUUGGAAUAUAGCCGGAGCACGUGCACGAGUAUAUUGUAAGGGGUGAGAGGUGGUAGACUACUUUGACCACAGGAUGCGAGUCGAUCUUCGAUAAUUUUGCUCGACUGUAGCGUUUCCUCGCAGAUGACCGAGAGGAGAGCUGCUGCAGCGACCCUUCUUUCCUUUUCAUCGACGGGCCAUCGAUGCUUCCAAGAGGAAUAUUUAGAAUAUUCUCCCUCUAACGAUCCCUCCCUUCCCCCUCCGAACGAAACGAGAAUCGUUUUCCUCGGCAAAGAAAGGCGAGGGGCGGGGGACAAGAUUGGAAAUUGGAGGAUGGAGGAGGGGGGGAAAAAGGGAGGGAAAAACGUCGGGGAAGAAACGUGGAAAUGUUGCGCGGGACUGCAAACUUGUGUGGCAGACGAGAGGCGGCGGACGAUAUAUUCCACGAAGCCUAGUUAAUCCUAUCUUUCGGAUCUGAAUUCGAGGUUUCUGUUAUACAGCGCGGUUGGCUCGGUCCGCGCGAUCAAAGUGAAUUAAAUCGCGGAGGGCGCUCGCUGUGCUACGCGAUUCUCCGCUUCUCUCUCUCUCCUUCUCCCUUGUCACCCUCGAAAAAUAUUCCAGGGGUGGGAAACGUAGCCUCGUUACGGCCGAUUGAAGUUUCCACGCCGGCCUAUUUUAUACCAUCCCCCUCCCCCUUUCUGUAUCAAAUUUAUUCUCCUUAGAAGGGACGAGCAUUUCUUACGUUUUCAGAGACGGAUAAAAAAAUGGGAUGGAAAUAAAGGGGAUUUAAGGGGCGAGCGAAAGGGAAAUCGAGCGAUUCAGGAUCGUGCAAUCACGAACGCUCCUCCUCCCUCGAGGGACACGUUCGACGAAAGGCGCUGGAGACUCGGCCGGCUACGGCUAUUUUUCACAAUCAGCGAAAUGGCGAAGUGGAGUUGGAUGGAGAACAAACACGAGAAAUCGGUGCGCGCGAGCGAUUCGCGAGCUAGGCGGGAACGAAAUGGGGAGACGUGGAAUAUAAUCUAUCCUGUUUGAGGAGAACUGGCACCGACUGCAAGUUAGAACAAACUCCCAAUGUACUCUGGGAACGUCGUAGCCGGCAACCAAUCCACCGACGUACCACCACCCCCUGGUCGCUCUCUCGUCGUUCCCUCUUCGUCUGCCGCAAGCAUCCCCGAAAUUGGAUAAAAUAACAUCCAAUCCGCGGUCUAUCCGGAAAUGGAGAUGCAGGCUCGACUUUAUCCCUGCCUCCCUGAAAAAUUCGAGGAAAAUAAACCGUUAUCUUAUUUAUUUCUUUCUUUGUUUGUUUAUUCUUUUCUCUCUCUCUCUCUAAGGAAGGGCGCUUAGUUAAUAAAACGGAUUACGAUUAUCUUUGUACGAUCUGGGGAAACGUUACGCUAAAAUGUUGAAGCUUUUAGGAGUGAAAAGAUGAAUUUACGUUGGCGGUGUAAAGUUGGAUCUCGCCGUUUCGUUAUAAAGUUUGUGAAAAUAAUACUUGUGAUCUUUCGGGCGAAGGAGAGGAGCGGCGGAAAAGAGGUUUUUAACCGAGGGAUUCAGGGGUCGGUCGGAAACGUUUUGAUUCCCGGGGAAACAUUAAAUCCCGCGAUAAGAAGGGCACGGGUUAACAGGGCUGCGGGGCUGCGGCUCGCGAUAGCCGUGGAAAUGAAAGGAAUUCGUCCGUUCGAAUAGUUUAAAACUUGCGCAAACUUGUCAGAUUUCCAACUUGCGUUAUUAUAUUUCGGAGGAACGAACGAAUCAACCAACUUUUGUAUUAAUAUAAAUCUCGCCCCCUCCCCUCCCCUCCACGUCUAGACCAUCGACGACCUCACUUUCUCCUCCUUGCUUGCGAUUCUCCCGUUCACGAUAAUUAGAUAAAGGCGAUAUCCUGCGACAGUAAAUAGGGAACGGGAUCGCUAUAAUUAGUCUAAACGCGUCCCGAGUUUGAGUAUUUCCAGAGUGGAACCAGCUCCCGGAAUUUCACACCGAUCGACGUUCGUCUAUUAAUUCGAUCAUCCAACUUUCUCCUUCUCCCUCCCCCCCUCCCUCUGUGUGAACAGUGCUCGCUAAGAUUCCAAGGUUCUUCCAAGAUUGGACGCGUUUCGCCAUGCGUGAGAAAUUUUUUUUCCUUUUUGUCCUCUGCACAAUUUGAAAAAUUGUAAAAAAUUAUAAAAUUAUCUGUAAAAUUAUUGCGUAUACUCGAAACGAGAUAAAUAGAGAGGGAGAGAGAUAAACAAAUAGAAAAAAAAUAAAAAGGUUUGAUUGA